rnacentral:lncRNA from 1 species
AAGGCACCACGGCCUCUGGCUCCAUUCCACCCUCCCCGCGCUCUCCUUAAACCUCAGGCUUCUUUUUUCUGCCUGCUGCAGGGCUUCUCAGCCUGGGCUGGAUCCUGGACAGACAGGCCCAGGCAGGCUGUGCACUGUGACCUGGGGCCUUGCUGUGAACAAAGAGGACUUCAAGAGGAGAUGGCCUGGAGGAGUUCGCCUCUGUGGUCAUUUUGCUUCAGCGGACCAGUCAGCAAAUAAUGACUGCCCUUGGUCAUCACUGGGAAGAUAAAGGAUUAUUAAAAGAGGGCCCGGCUGCUUGCAGAUUACACCUGCUACAUUUGGAGUGGAAAGAGGCUUCUCUGUCAGUGCCCCUUGCCCCCAUGGAAAGACACUAAUAGCAAUCUUCAACCAUAAUUGUUUGGUCCAUUUUGUUCUGGACCAAGUUUGCAUAAGUUUUAAGCCUGAAAGUCAAAGAAAAACGAAAUCUUACACGUAAACAUGGCCUUUCCAUCACUUGAAAAAGGCACCCUCUCUCUCUCUUUCUCUCUGCCUCGUAAACACAGCGGUCUUGCUCAGAGCAAUCUUGAGCUCUGAGCUGUGAAGAAUUGCUGUAGGUAGGAAGAAACGUUGGCUCUGGAAUUCAAUUAACUGUCAGCAUUGCUGUUCGAGUCAGGAUGACUCACUCCUCUUCAGCAAAUGGGCAUGGGGGCUGUGAGCCUCCAAGAUUAAUGGUGAUUGAUAAGCCGCUGGAGCUCCAGGACGAAGCCUCCCAGAAUCCUUCCCUCACCCACACACGUUUUUACAUGAAAAUAUAAUAAAGAGAUAGUGGGAGAGGAUGUGUGAGUACAGAGGAGAUGCUGUCAAGAAUUUGCCUGUAUCCUUUUCUUUUAUAUUGGACAACAGAGGUUGCAUUUAUACUUUCUACCUGGCACAGAGCAGGUGUUCAGUACUAUUUGUCGGGUGAAGAUGGCAGGAAUAGAAAAAUGACAGUUCCAAAUCUGAGACUGCCUUGGGUGAAUCAGGAUGCCUCUAACAAGUUCACGGUGCGGCGCUGCUCUGAGGAUGCAAACGGCACUGGAGAGGAGAUGGGCGCUUUGCAGCCUCUGGGCCCCUGGUGAAGGAGAGAACCGUGGGCGAGGAGGGCCAGCAGUUUCCAGGAGGCAUUCGGAAUAGGGUGGGAGGGAAGAGAA